AGAACGAACGCUGGCGGCGUGCUUAACACAUGCAAGUCGAGCGGAAAGGCCCUUCGGGGUACUCGAGCGGCGAACGGGUGAGUAACACGUGAGUAACCUGCCCCUAGCUCUGGGAUAGCUCCGGGAAACCGGGAUUAAUACCAGAUACGACCACUUUAGACAUCUGUCGUGGUGGAAAGGAUUCCGGCUAGGGAUGGGCUCGCGGCCUAUCAGCUUGUUGGUGGGGUAACGGCCUACCAAGGCGACGACGGGUA
rnacentral:rRNA from 1 species